CAAAAUGCCAUACACUGGAGUGCUUAAGAAGUACAAGUUGUUUUGUUCUGUUUCUCACAAUUCUGGAGACUGAAAAGUCCAAGAUCAAGGUGCCAGACAGUUUGAUUACUGGCCUUUUCCAACAGUUUGAAGAGAUGACCUCUAAGCAGAUGGGCUUGGAACAUAGGAUUUAUGCUGAUCUCUCCAUACAGGCAUCCAAAAUCAAACUGUGUUUGCUCCCAUGCUUGAAGAAACUCAACAUCCUAAAAAUUAGUAGAACAUACUUCCAAUUCUAAGAUAAGGACUAUCUGGUCAUUUUUUUCAAUUGCUUUAUAACCUUGUCUUUCUCAAAGGUAAUUAGUUAAAAAGCUGGAUAAUCUUUGAACAACUAUUUUUAAGAGGGGGAAAGGAUAUAUGUGUUUGCCCCUUUAGAGGAGGCCAAUGAUGUGUGCCUGUUGUGUUGUUUUUGUUAUUUAUUUUGCUUCUGCUUUUUACGAUUCCCAAAUU